rnacentral:rRNA from 1 species
GUCGAACGGUAGAGUAGCAAUACUCGAGAGUGGCGAACGGGUGAGUAAUAUAUCGGAACGUGCCCAGUCGUGGGGGAUAACGUAGAGAAAUUUACGCUAAUACCGCAUACGAUCUAAGGAUGAAAGCGGGGGCUUCGCAAGAACCUCGCGCGAUUGGAGCGGCUGAUAUCAGAUUAGGUUGUUGGUGAGGUAAAAGCUCACCAAGCCGACGAUCUGUAGCUGGUUUGAGAGAACGACCAGCCACACUGGGACUGAGACACGGCCCAGACUCCUACGGGAGGCAGCAGUGGGGAAUUUUGGACAAUGGGCGAAAGCCUGAUCCAGCAAUGCCGCGUGCAGGAAGAAGGCCUUCGGGUUGUAAACUGCUUUUGUACGGAACGAAACGGUCUGCCUUAAUACGGUGGGCUAAUGACGGUACCGUAAGAAUAAGCACCGGCUAACUACGUGCCAGCAGCCGCGGUAAUACGUAGGGUGCGAGCGUUAAUCGGAAUUACUGGGCGUAAAGCGUGCGCAGGCGGUAAUAUAAGACAGUUGUGAAAUCCCCGGGCUCAACCUGGGAAUUGCAUCUGUGACUGUAUAGCUAGAGUACGGUAGAGGGGGAUGGAAUUUCCGCGUGUAUCAAUGAAAAUGCGUAAAUAUUGCGGAGGAACCCUGAUGGCG